CGCAUACAUUUAUGACCGAAACUAUACGGGUCCGGAGUUAACCCGAACAACUCCCAAAUUCCCUCUCUUCUCAAAACCCCCCAUUCAAAUUGCCCUAAUUAAGCCCCCGGAAUUAACUAAUUCUCCAUUCUUCUCCGGCAAUUCACUGGUACAAAAACCCUCUGCCACCCACGCCGGAAAACCAUUCGCAUCUCUUUCCAAACGAAAAUCCUUCACCCUGUGGAGAACCAACAGGUUGGAAGCUGAGCUGAAACUUGAUAAAGAGUA